UGUGGCGGCGUGAGACUCCCCACGGCACCGGUUUCUUCUUCCCGAGUCUAACCCUCAACACCAGUCCUUUCGCACUCUGCGGGACUUCCUGUGCGGAAUUAGGAACAAUGACUCAUCCAAUCUACUCGGGUGGAGACGUGGUGUCUAGAACCAGGGGACUGGAUGAGCUCACAAAGGACGCGAGGGUGGAAAGAUUCCGCGGCCCUUGGCAAGGAGCUGAGCAGAGCGGGGGCCCGGAAGGGGUUAAGGGCGCCACAGGAUCCCCGCAGGCGCAGAAGCAGAAGCAGGUCUGACGCCGGAGGACAGGGGAGGCGGCGGGCGGAAGCCGCUGGGAACGACUCAAUUUAUCAAGGCUUACGACAUCCUCCGUUGUCUCCCACAUGGUCUAGCGGUUAGGAUUCCUGGUUUUCACCCAGGCGGCCCGGGUUCGACUCCCGGUGUGGGAACACCGAAUCUUUUAGGAAAAAGAAAAGCCGAUUCAGGCCCUCCUCGGCUCCUCAACCAGAAGGCUGGUGUUUUUAGAAAAACCUAUAACCCAAUUUCAGAGCAGCAGGGAAGCUUGGGCCUGAAGGGAAUCCGGGCGUCCCGCCCCAAACCCGGCGCGGCUGGCGGAAGCAGGCGGAAAGGCAGUAGCUCCGACAGUGAGCAAGUUAGCUUUUGAAAUAGGGGAUGGAAUCCGAGUGAAGAAGGUGGGUCCGGCCCUAAAAUACCUGUUCGGCUGGUACUACUGAUGUAAUUGCUCCUUGUUCUGUGGCUAUGGAGCGGGUGACCGAACGGUGCCCUUCUUUGAAAGAAAAAGAAAAGACGCAUGUGGGGACAUUAUAAGGCUUUUAAGUUGCCUAAAGCCAUUUUAUUGAGGACAGCAAGAUUGCCAGAAAAGACGUAUUAUUAAGGGCAGAGUAGCUCCGCGUCCGGUCUGUGGGGUUAGCCGUCGGGCGAGCUCACUAAACCCGUUCUGUGGGGAGGGGAAGGAAGAAGGGGAACUUCGGUUAUUGUCACUAUCGAGGAGCGUGGCACGGGCCGGGAACACCACUUCCUUCUCCAGCCCCAACAUGUAUUUGACACAUUCUGUUUUUAAAACUUCUAGAACCCAUGAUAUGCUGAACUAGAAUUAGGAAUCUUAGCGUCGAUGUGUCACAAGACGGCUUCCAACUGUUACCCCAAGAAGUGUUUCCUCGGCUGUAAUCGUUUAUCUUGCUUAUCGCUCCAAACAUUUGCCAUUAGGAAAAUCCUCAAGGCGUUCAGAAGCCACACUCCUUUCCCACUGGUGUUGAAUUUUUGGAAGCUUCCCCGGUUGUUCCCAGACUGCCACCAACACUGAGACAUGACCGUGAAAAAGACUUGGUGUCCCUGUGACUUUGAAAUUUGCUCUCCUUUAAAAGGCCUUUGGGAUUCUAAGGGUCGCAAAACAAAAUGUCAUCCUUCAUGAGAAAAUUACUAGGCGGAAAAUACACAUUUAUUCAAAAUCCCUAAUAAAGGGCUUGGAGGAGAAAUUUAUCGUCAGCUGAUAAUCUGCAUUUAUGGAAUCAAGUAGGACAGAACUGAUAAGAAGAUAAAAAGCCCAAUCAUCAUAACAAUAGGGUAAGGAUGCAGAAUGAAAUCAUUCAAAGGAAGAGACACAGAGGGCAGAGUCUGGAGUGUUCCAAAUGCCAAACUUCCAUUGCCUUCUCUCUCCAUGGAAUCAGGAUGCAUUAACCUCCCAGUAUUGAUACAGAGGAGAGAGGAUUGGUUAUUGCCACAAACUGCCAAAACAUGGAUGUCUGUCCCUGGCGUUGCAGCUGAAUUCCAGUGUGGACACUCGAGUUCCUUUCCUCACCACUGACUUGCCCAAUGCCCAGGGCUGAGUUGGGUCAAACAAGUGCAACAACUCUGAGGGAUCAAGUGUGCAGCCAACGGAGGAUUCUUUCUUAAGUUCAUGUCAUGAAUUCGUGCACCAGCCUCUGCUUGGGCCACCAGCCACUGAUGAGUAAAAUGACCUCAGCGACCAGAUGCCAAGCAGAAGGCCUUGCCCUCGAGACAGUGUUGCUUCACUGGUUCUGCCUGCCCCGGAUGCUGAAGCUAGACCAAACCUUUUUGGGCGAGAUUCUCGACCAGCCAAAACUUUGCAAAAGCCAACAUUUCUGGUCAGGGAACCUUGGCUACUUCCACGAGCCUUUUGGAAGCACAAAAGCUGGUCCCCCACAGCGAGUGGUUGCCCGGCACACAGCUCUGAAUGGAGUGCUUGGCAAAUCCCUUUCGCUUCACCCUGUAACGGGAGCUCAGGCUCCCUCUCUGGCAAGAACACACUGGAAAAUUCCCCGGACGUAGAGAGCUGGCUCUAUUUCCUAGCAAUUCUACGAAGUUCUCUCUCUGUGAUGGUAAAAAUGGAGCAGCCUACACAUCUUCAGAUCACUGGGAUCUAAAACAAAGAGUCCCCAGGACAUUCUGACAAGAAACAGGCAGGGCCCUACUUUUCAGCCUGGAGCUUUCAGAAUUUAGAAUCAAUCUGGCCUCCAAGGUUCGGUCACAGUGACUGCUUCAACUCGGGGCCUGCUGGGACGUUAGUGGGUCCCCGAAUAUUUUGAAUUUCUUGGCAAAGCUGUCCCAGACCGUGUAACCUUCGUCAUCUGAAAGCAAAGACAAAUAGCUACGAGAUUUACAGAGAAAUAAAGCUGGGGGGCGGGUGAGGGGAAUCAAGCAGCCCUGGGAGCAUAGCUUCAAGUUCGACAGACUCGGAAUCGAUUCUGCCGAUGUGUGACCUUAGGGGCAAAUUCUGUAUUUUCUUUAAAUCCUAGUUCUUCAUCUGAAAAGCAAUAGAAAACGCAGUGCCUACGUGAUAAGGUCAACACGAGGAUGGCUAAGUAAACACGCAAAGUGCCCAGGAGGCACUCCCAGAUUCUUAGCCUUCUCUCUUUCCUCCUGCUCUCCACCCCCUUCUCUGGUCUCCAGAG